rnacentral:rRNA from 1 species
GAUGAACCACUUCGGUGGGGAAGAGUGGCGAACGGGUGAGUAACACGUGGGCAAUCUGCCCUGCACUCUGGGAUAACUCCGGGAAACCGGAGCUAAUACCGGAUACGACUCUCCAGGGCAUCCUGGGGGGUGGAAAGCUCCGGCGGUGCAGGAUGAGCCCGCGGCCUAUCAGCUGGUUGGUGGGGUAACGGCCCACCAAGGCGACGACGGGUAGCCGGCCUGAGAGGGCGACCGGCCACACUGGGACUGAGACACGGCCCAGACUCCUACGGGAGGCAGCAGUGGGGAAUAUUGCACAAUGGGCGCAAGCCUGAUGCAGCGACGCCGCGUGAGGGAUGACGGCCUUCGGGUUGUAAACCUCUUUCAGCAGGGAAGAAGCGCAAGUGACGGUACCUGCAGAAGAAGCACCGGCUAACUACGUGCCAGCAGCCGCGGUAAUACGUAGGGUGCGAGCGUUGUCCGGAAUUAUUGGGCGUAAAGAGCUCGUAGGCGGCCUGUCGCGUCGGAUGUGAAAGCCCGGGGCUUAACCCCGGGUCGGCAUUCGAUACGGGCAGGCUAGAGUUCGGUAGGGGAGAUCGGAAUUCCUGGUGUAGCGGUGAAAUGCGCAGAUAUCAGGAGGAACACCGGUGGCGAAGGCGGAUCUCUGGGCCGAUACUGACGCUGAGGAGCGAAAGCGUGGGGAGCGAACAGGAUUAGAUACCCUGGUAGUCCACGCCGUAAACGUUGGGCACUAGGUGUGGGCG